GACGAACGCUGGCGGCGUGCUUAACACAUGCAAGUCGAACGGAAAGGCCCUGCUUGCCGGGUACUCGAGUGGCGAACGGGUGAGUAACACGUGGGUGAUCUGCCCUGCACUUCGGGAUAAGCCUGGGAAACUGGGUCUAAUACCGGAUAGGAGCCAUUUUUAGUGUGAUGGUUGGAAAGUUUUUUCGGUGUAGGAUGAGCUCGCGGCCUAUCAGCUUGUUGGUGGGGUAAUGGCCUACCAAGGCGGCGACGGGUAGCCGGCCUGUGAGGGUGGACGGCCACAGUGGGACUGAGAUACGGCCCAGACUCCUACGGGAGGCAGCAGGGGGGAAGAUUGCACAAUGGGUGCAAGCCUGAUGCAGCGACGCCGCGGGGGGGAUGACGGCCUUCGGGUUGUAAACUCCUUUCGCUAGGGACGAAGCUUUUUGUGACGGUACCUAGAGAAGAAGCACCGGCUAACUACGUG
rnacentral:rRNA from 1 species